UCCAGCAAGCCUUUUUUCAACCUUUGACCUCGGAUCAGGUAGGGAUACCCGCUGAACUUA
rnacentral:rRNA from 1 species